rnacentral:rRNA from 1 species
GACGAACGCUGGCGGCGUGCUUAACACAUGCAAGUCGAACGGAAAGGCCCUGCUUGCCGGGUACUCGAGUGGCGAACGGGUGAGUAACACGUGGGUGAUCUGCCCUGCACUUCGGGAUAAGCCUGGGAAACUGGGUCUAAUCCCGGAUAGGAGCCAUUUUUAGUGUGAUGGUUGGAAAGUUUUUUCGGUGUAGGAUGAGCUCGCGGCCUAUCAGCUUGUUGGUGGGGUAAUGGCCUACCAAGGCGGCGACGGGUAGCCGGCCUGAGAGGGUGGACGGCCACAUUGGGACUGAGAUACGGCCCAGACUCCUACGGGAGGCAGCAGUGGGGAAUAUUGCACAAUGGGCGCAAGCCUGAUGCAGCGACGCCGCGUGGGGGAUGACGGCCUUCGGGUUGUAAACUCCUUUCGCUAGGGACGAAGCUUUUGUGACGGUACCUAGAUAAGAAGCACCGGCUAACUACGUG